CAUUUGGAGAACCUGAUAUUAAGACUGCAGAAAGAUGUCUUCUCAACAUCAGCAGUGCAAGCAGCCCUGCCAGCCACCACCAGUGUGCACACCAAAAUGCCAUGACCCUUGCCCACCUUGCAAGUGUCCAGACCCUUGCCCACCUUGCAAGUGUCCAGACCCUUGCCCACCUAUAAAGUGCCCUGACCCAUGCGUGCCUCAGCAGUGCAAGCAGAAAUGCCCUCCUGGGGCACCUGUUCAACAUUGCUAGCAGAAGUGGCCACCCAAGAGUAUGUAAGAGCUUGAGCUUUUAUCUGCAUCUGGAAAGGAUAAGGACAAUCAGCUCAACUAGUUCCAGAGCUCCACCUUCCUCUUCUCUUCAAAGCCUAUCAUGGAUACGGAAGAAGCUUCUCCACCCUUCAGCCUCAAUAUGCGAGUGCUGCUUCCUGACAGACAGAGGUUUCUUACCUGCGGGUGCUGUACUGCUUCCCUCUGGGAGGUGCCCAAGAAAGCAUCGCAGAGCCUCAGAAGGAAGAGCAGCCGCUCUCCUCCUGGGCACCCUCUGAGGAUUCUCUCGCUGUCUUCUGUGUCGGUCGGUCACCUGGGCAUGGGUUUCUACCAGCUGAGCAAUUGUUACUUAUCCUCCACGUCCUGAAUAAAAUACAGUUCUUUUGUGAGAUGGGAAAAUAUUUUCUUUCUUUGCAAACCUGCUUUUAGCAAUAUCAUAUGAUAAUUUUGCUUGAUUUCUAUCCUUCUUUGAUCCCGAGUUUCAGGCUUUCACAGUCAGUGUUAUCUGAAUUUUGAGUCGUAUCAAUGAUUAUUUCUAUACAGUUAAAAAUCCAGGUUAUUUUCCUAAUUAUUGCUUGACUCAUUUAAAGAACAAGUUUUGUAACUUCUUGGGAUUUCAAAUCCUUUAAUAAACUCUGGGGAAAAUCACAUUUACAGUGCCAACUUGCUUAGGCAUAAAAAUUACAUGAAUGUGUGUCAUUCAGUUGGCACAAUGCCGAGCAUGUAAUUGGCAUUUGAGAGGUGCCCGAUCAUCAUUGUCCCUGUCAUCAUCACCGGUACCACCACCAACACCGUCACCACCUCCCCCAGGUGCUCCGAGCAGGGGAGUGGCUCUGACAUACCUCGUAGAGCAAGCAAGGAGAUUCUUAAACUCUAUUACCCAUUCAUAUUCUGUGUUGUUUUCCUUUUCCAAUUUAACCGAAUUUUUAAUCUGACACCACAGAAUAACCAGUUUGGGAAAUUAUUGGGAUACUCUGUAUAAAAUUAUAAUAGUUCUGAAAACAUGGGUAGUACAAAAGAAAGGGAAUUUAAAGGGACCUUACCAGACAAAGUGCUACCUGUUCUCCAUGUGUACAACGUGCUCUUCUUACUGCAAAACUCAACAACCACAGGGUCUUAUUAUAUUUUUUCACCUUGGAAAUUACAUUCUUGAAUGUUUUGACCCCACCUUUGAGAUACACUGGGAAUUCCAAUGUUUAUCUUGAUUUACAAAAUGACUGUUGCUAUGCAGCUUGUUUUCCAAGCUGGUCCAGUAAUCUGUGAAAAGGGAGGUGUUCAUUAAGCGUAUCCCUUCUUGUGGUUAGAAGUAAAGGAGUCAAAGAUGCCAGAACUGCAGAAGCAAACAUAUGCCCAUGUUACUGUUCAACGCUCAUCAGAUUAUGACAUGAGUGGAAAAUCAACAGUGCUAUUUGGGAGAUGUCUCUACUGUAGCUACUGUUAUUUGACCUGACAUGGAAAUUAGUUCUUUGAGGUGGGAUGCUCCUGUAACAAAUCUUAAAAUUGAGGCAUUGGCUUAUGUGUCUGGAGGUGGUUGGAAAGGAAUCUGAUAUUGGAAGCCGUAAAUGUGGUGCUACAUGUUAUUCAAAGGAAAAGUGUUUGAAGUAAUGGUUGUCCAUGGUAUCUUUAGAGGCAAAGCAAUGGUUGCUCACUUGCUGAUUUGCCCAGGGUAUUUCAGGAGAUGUAUGUUCAGGAAAAUCUUUCUGGUUGACAGGCCAGAAAUGUAAAGAAUGAAAAGAAAAAUAAUACA